AAAAACUUUAUGAAAGUAAAUAUCCAUUCAGAUUCUCAACCACUUCAAAUAUCACCAACGCCAAAAAAAUUUAAUCAAGUGCACGAAAACUAUAAUAUAUAUAAAACUACAACAAAUACAUUAGUUAAUGAAAAAUCCUUUUUAAAAAGUAUUAUGGAUGCAUACAUAAAUAUUUAGUGAAAUGUAUAAAAGGAAAUAAAAAUAACAAUAACUUGAAGAACAAAAUGUAUAAGACUGAGAAUAUUAAUGAUUUGUGAUUUAAUAUAUAUUCAACUUAUUGUCACAAAAAACUUAAUAAAAAAAUACAUACUCUGUUUAAAGACCAUUAAAAAUUACGUUAAAACUUUUAACAUUUUAAGAGAAAUUAUGAAUCAAUAAUAUUAAUUUUAUCCGAAAAAUUCAGCACUAAAUGCACAAAAAAAAAAAAAACCUUAAACUUUAUAAUCCUAAGCAUUAUUCCAAACGAAACCUUAAACCCAACCUAAACCAAACGCUAAACCUUUUCUACUACCUAAACCCUAAAUCCUACCUAACCCUAAACCCUACCUAAACCUAGACCUUAACCCUAUCUAACCCUAAACCCUACAUAAACCUAACCCUAAUCCCUAAACCCUUCAUACUACCUAACCCUAAACCCUGUUUAACCCUAAACCCUACCUAACCCUAAACCCUUCCUAACCCUAAAACCCUACCUAAAACCUAACCCUAAAUCCUACUAACCCUAAACCCUACUAUCCCUUAACCCUACCUAACCCUAACCCUACAUAACCCUAAACCCUACUAACCCUACCUAACCCUAAACCCUACUAACCCUAAACCCUACUAACCCUAAACCCUACCUAACCCUAAACCCUACCUAACCCUAAACCCUUUCUAGCCCUAAACCCUACCUAACCCUAAACCCCAUCUAACGCUAAACCCUACCUAAACCUAAACCCCUUCUAACCUUAAACCUGACCUAACCCUAAACCAUGCCUAACCCUAAACCCUACCUAACCCUUUUUAGCCGUAAAUCCUUCUAACCCUAAACCCUUUCUAACCCUAAACCAUGCUAACCCUAAACCCUACCUAACCCUAAAUCCUACUAACCCUAAAUCCUACCUAACCUAAACCCUACCUAACCCUAAAACCUUUCUAACCCUAAACCCUUUCUAGCCCUAAACCCUACCUAACCCUAAACCCUACCUAACCCUAAACCCUACCUAACCCUCAACCCUACCUACCCUAAACCCUUUUUAACCCUAAACCCUACCUAACCUAAAACCUAACCCUAAACCCUACCUAACCCUAACCCUGAAACCUACCUAACGCUAACCCUACAUAACCCUAAACCCUACUAACCAUACCUAACCUAAACCAUUUCUAACCCUAAACCCUUUCUAGCCCUAAACCCUACUUAACCCGAAACUCUACUAACCUUAAACCCUACUAACCUUAAACCCUAUUAUUUUCCUAAACCCUUUCUAACCCUAAACCCUACCUAACCCUAAACCCUACCUAACCCGUGCUUGGGAGUCCCUGAUGAUUAAAUAAACCAAGGAUUUUACACCCUACCUAACCCUAAACCCUACCUACCCUAAAUCCUUUCUAACCCUAAACCCUACCUAACCCUAAACCCUUUCUAACCCUAAACCUUACCUGACCCUAAAUCCCUUCUAACCCUAAACCUGACCUAACCCUACCUAACCCUUUCUAGCCUUAAAUCAUACUAACCCUAAAC
rnacentral:lncRNA from 1 species